rnacentral:siRNA from 1 species
GUGUGUUGAUGUGUCAUUCAUAU